CUACGGGAUGCUGCAGGUAGGGAACUUUUACAAUGCUCGAAAGAGUGAUAAAGCAAGCCAGAGUGUUUCUUUUAAAGAAACUUUUUUCUGCUGUAAAAAUGCAGAAGAAUAAGGACUGGGAAAGACCGGUGCCAGCCGCCGCGGUAAUACCGGCGGUCCAAGUCGUGUCCACUAUUAUUGGGUCUAAAACAUCCGUAGCUUGUUUUGUAAGUCUCUUGUAAAAUCUUAUAUCUCAAAUAUAAGGCUGGCAAGAGAUACUACAAUACUAGAGACCGGAAGACGUAAUGAGUACGAUUUAGGUAACGGUAAAAUGUGUUAAUCUUUAUCGGACUAACAAUGGCGAAGGCACAUUACGAGUACGGAUCUGACAGUGAGGGAUGAAGGCUAGGGGCGCAAAACGGAUUAGAUACCCGAGUAGUC
rnacentral:rRNA from 1 species